rnacentral:tRNA from 3 species
GCGAGAGUGGUGGAAUGGUAGACACGCUAGAUUUAGGAUCUAGUGCCUCACGGCGUGCGGGUUCAAAUCCCGCCUCUCGCA